rnacentral:lncRNA from 1 species
GAAUGAAUCCCAACACAAACUAGUAUUAAAAUUCAUACAAAUUCCAUGAACUCUUAUGAAUCGUCUCUGGCAGAUCAGAAAAAGUGAACAAAAUGCUCUUUCUUUUUUCCGAUAAAGCUCUAACAAAAGGGUACAAAUGAUAAAAAAAAUUGCGAUCAAGUGCUGGUCUCUCUAUCUUCAAAUCAUCAUCUUGGAUUCAUAAAUGGAUUUUAACGAACCAAAGGUUCCAAUAGAUCUAAAACCAACAGUGAAGCCGGAUUUUUGACCAAAUUUUGAUGAGUAACUGAUGACAAGACAAAGAAAGGAAAAGUUGCUGAAGCUUUUUCUGACCUAACUCCGAUGAGUCUCUUCAAUGAUAGUUUUUGAUCAUGCUUGAACAUAUUUUGCUUAAAGGGGCUUGAACAGAAAACCAAAAAGGAAGAAAUGAAUAAAGAAUAGAGAAUAAGCUUUUGAGAUUUGAGAAUAAUAAAAAUAAGAAGAAAAUAAAAUAUAGGGUGGAAGGUGACGAUCUGGGAAACAAAUUUUUAUAUUUGGCCGGUAGAGAAGGCGGUGACAUUGCAAGGGAGAUGCCCGUGUUGGGGGGUCUAGUUCGCCGUCGAGCUUUAGUAGAGAGAGAGAAAGGUGGGAUCCACAAGGUCUUUGCAUAGGUGGGUCAAAGAAAUAGGUAUG